GCGCUGAUGACUGAGCUUGCCAAAGUACAGAAUGACUCUUAGCACUCUCUUCUCCCCAGAGAGGUUGCCAUUUAGCAGCAGGUCUCCUUGUGCACGUGCACAGCCUUUUGUAAUCAGCCAAGACUCAACCUGAAAGUCACGUGACCCCCGGAGAACCAUUCUCUUGAGUGAAGGACAGUCAAAAAGCUUUCUUAGAGGUAUGCGUAAAUUAAGGAUUUAUCUUCAACUGUCUUUCUACAAAACUUGUAAUGAAAAGAGCAGUAUUUCUCAAAAUGCAAGAAAUAUAGUCUCCCAACUAAAUUAUCAGGCAUUCAAGUCAACCAUUUCUUCCUCGUGCUGA
rnacentral:lncRNA from 1 species